rnacentral:lncRNA from 1 species
CGGACGAAGGUGCUUCUGACUGACGUCAGACAGAAGAAAAAGAUAAAAAAAAAAAUAAAAAAAAUAGAGCUCCGCUCGAAUCAAGUUGGUCAACAACCAAUAAAGGAGUUUCACCUUAGUGACAGAGUCCAAGACUGAACAAUUACGACAGCAGGUAUGACUCCUAUACUCCUCUUUCUGCUCCUCGUGUAUAGAUCCUAAUGGAGAUUGAGGAAAAUGAGUACUUUCAUCACCCCCCA